rnacentral:rRNA from 1 species
GUGACAUACCACUUGUUGCCUCGGCGGAUCAGCCCGCUCCCGGUAAAACCGGACGGCCCGCCAGAGGACCCCUAAACUCUGUUUCUAUAUGUAACUUCUGAGUAAAACCAUAAAUAAAUCAAAACUUUCAACAACGGAUCUCUUGGUUCUGGCAUCGAUGAAUAACGCAUGGAAAUGCGAUAACUAAUGUGAAUUGCAAAAUUCACUGAAUCAUCUAAUCUUUGAACGCACAUUGCGCCCGCCAGUAUUCUGGCGGGCAUGCCUGUUCGAGCGUCAUUUCAACCCUCAAGCACAGGUUGGUGUUGGGACUCGCGUUAAUUCUCGUUCCUCAAAUUGAUUGGCGGUCACGUCCAGCUUCCAUAGCGUAAUAGUAAAACCCUCGUUACUGGUAAUCGUCGCGGCCACGCCGUUAAACCCCAACUUCUGAAUGUUGACCUCGGAUCAGGUAGGAAUACCCGCUGAACUUAAGCAUAUCAUUAAGGUUGAGGAAAGAUCAGGUAGGGAUACCCGCUGAACUUAAGCAUAUCAAU